rnacentral:lncRNA from 1 species
UUCAUCUUUAGUGUUAUUAAUGAAAAUCAGUAUUGGAAUAUUGGGAUCAGAGCAACACAAAUGCUUCCUCCAUUAGUGACCUGCAAUCACUAAAGAUUUGAUCAUCAAAAAGAGGGAAACCCAGGAUAUCUCUAGAGAUGUUUCCUUUUACAGCCCUGUUUGGAAGAGUCCUUGAAAAGAGAAGCAUCAAUUUUCCAAUAAGAAGUAAAUGGAGGUAGGAUGAACUUACCCACCCUCUUCCCUACUCUCCAAACAGUCAUCAGGCUUAUGCAAAUACAGCUCAUGGAAGAUCAGAAUGUAUAAGAAUCUGUUUAUUGGAUACCUUCAAAGUCACUAAGGUA